CAAAACUUCAUUAAACAUGAACAUGCAUAGGCGUUCCUAGAAACACUUAACGAGAUAAAACCGGCAAUUGCAUACACCAAGGUUGAAGAUCUAUGUAUAGAACUUGCGUACAAGAUCAAUGGAUGUAAACUUAAAAAAACAUCAUUUUUAAAAAGGUAGUCCUUUAUUUAAGUGAUCAGGAAAAUGAGCCGCUUUGGAUAGUUUUACCUAAAAGUUAAGUAACCAAAUUUUCCACAAAAGCACCCUUUAAGAUGCUAAAGGAAC
rnacentral:lncRNA from 1 species